UUAAGCGACUAAGCGUACACGGUGGAUGCCCUGGCAGUCAGAGGCGAUGAAGGACGUGCUAAUCUGCGAUAAGCGUCGGUAAGGUGAUAUGAACCGUUAUAACCGGCGAUUUCCGAAUGGGGAAACCCAGUGUGAUUCGUCACACUAUCAUUAACUGAAUCCAUAGGUUAAUGAGGCGAACCGGGGGAACUGAAACAUCUAAGUACCCCGAGGAAAAGAAAUCAACCGAGAUUCCCCCAGUAGCGGCGAGCGAACGGGGAGCAGCCCAGAGCCUGAAUCAGUGUGUGUGUUAGUGGAAGCGUCUGGAAAGGCGCGCGAUACAGGGUGACAGCCCCGUACACAAAAAUGCACAUGCUGUGAGCUCGAUGAGUAGGGCGGGACACGUGGUAUCCUGUCUGAAUAUGGGGGGACCAUCCUCCAAGGCUAAAUACUCCUGACUGACCGAUAGUGAACCAGUACCGUGAGGGAAAGGCGAAAAGAACCCCGGCGAGGGGAGUGAAAAAGAACCUGAAACCGUGUAUGUACAAGCAGUGGGAGCACGCUUAGGCGUGUGACUGCGUACCUUUUGUAUAAUGGGUCAGCGACUUAUAUUCUGUAGCAAGGUUAACCGAAUAGGGGAGCCGAAGGGAAACCGAGUCUUAACUGGGCGUUAAGUUGCAGGGUAUAGACCCGAAACCCGGUGAUCUAGCCAUGGGCAGGUUGAAGGUUGGGUAACACUAACUGGAGGACCGAACCGACUAAUGUUGAAAAAUUAGCGGAUGACUUGUGGCUGGGGGUGAAAGGCCAAUCAAACCGGGAGAUAGCUGGUUCUCCCCGAAAGCUAUUUAGGUAGCGCCUCGUGAAUUCAUCUCCGGGGGUAGAGCACUGUUUCGGCAAGGGGGUCAUCCCGACUUACCAACCCGAUGCAAACUGCGAAUACCGGAGAAUGUUAUCACGGGAGACACACGGCGGGUGCUAACGUCCGUCGUGAAGAGGGAAACAACCCAGACCGCCAGCUAAGGUCCCAAAGUCAUGGUUAAGUGGGAAACGAUGUGGGAAGGCCCAGACAGCCAGGAUGUUGGCUUAGAAGCAGCCAUCAUUUAAAGAAAGCGUAAUAGCUCACUGGUCGAGUCGGCCUGCGCGGAAGAUGUAACGGGGCUAAACCAUGCACCGAAGCUGCGGCAGCGACGCUUAUGCGUUGUUGGGUAGGGGAGCGUUCUGUAAGCCUGUGAAGGUGUACUGUGAGGUAUGCUGGAGGUAUCAGAAGUGCGAAUGCUGACAUAAGUAACGAUAAAGCGGGUGAAAAGCCCGCUCGCCGGAAGACCAAGGGUUCCUGUCCAACGUUAAUCGGGGCAGGGUGAGUCGACCCCUAAGGCGAGGCCGAAAGGCGUAGUCGAUGGGAAACAGGUUAAUAUUCCUGUACUUGGUGUUACUGCGAAGGGGGGACGGAGAAGGCUAUGUUGGCCGGGCGACGGUUGUCCCGGUUUAAGCGUGUAGGCUGGUUUUCCAGGCAAAUCCGGAAAAUCAAGGCUGAGGCGUGAUGACGAGGCACUACGGUGCUGAAGCAACAAAUGCCCUGCUUCCAGGAAAAGCCUCUAAGCAUCAGGUAACAUCAAAUCGUACCCCAAACCGACACAGGUGGUCAGGUAGAGAAUACCAAGGCGCUUGAGAGAACUCGGGUGAAGGAACUAGGCAAAAUGGUGCCGUAACUUCGGGAGAAGGCACGCUGAUAUGUAGGUGAAGUCCCUCGCGGAUGGAGCUGAAAUCAGUCGAAGAUACCAGCUGGCUGCAACUGUUUAUUAAAAACACAGCACUGUGCAAACACGAAAGUGGACGUAUACGGUGUGACGCCUGCCCGGUGCCGGAAGGUUAAUUGAUGGGGUCAGCGCAAGCGAAGCUCUUGAUCGAAGCCCCGGUAAACGGCGGCCGUAACUAUAACGGUCCUAAGGUAGCGAAAUUCCUUGUCGGGUAAGUUCCGACCUGCACGAAUGGCGUAAUGAUGG
rnacentral:rRNA from 1 species